UCCUCGGUAGCUCAGUCGGUAGAGCAAUCGGCUGUUAACCGAUCGGUCGCAGGUUCGAGUCCUGCCCGGGGAGCCA
rnacentral:tRNA from 2 species